UAGUUCUCGGCUUAUAAAUUUCUUUUUAUACCUUUCAUUGUUUCUACUAGAAGAGCUAUUGGUACAAGGAAUAAAUUGAAGAAAACUUAAGAUGCAACUUUCCUCUUAACGGGUUUCGUCACUCCUAUAUACAUUUCAAUAGAAUUAGUCACAUCAAUUCAGUAAUCUUGGCUUAUUACACAAACUUAUCAAUAUGCACUUCUUUAAAUAGCAUGGUAAAUACAGACCAGCUAAAUCAGUGGCUAUGGGACAUUAUAGAUGAGUUUGUGUACCAGUUUCGUAGCUUCUGUGAGCAUAGGGCUAAGACGAAGAACAAGACUGAGCAGGAGACUACUUUUCUCAGACUGUUUGAUCAAGCUCCAAAAAAGCUUUAACCAAGUUGUUGUUCAACCAUAAAGUUCCAAUUAAAAAAAAAAAUAAGCAAAGUUCAUAAGUUCAAGAUUUACGGCAAGGAUUUACUACAGUUAAUCAGGAAGCUAAAGCAUUAUUAA